rnacentral:rRNA from 1 species
GACGAACGCUGGCGGCGCGCCUAACACAUGCAAGUCGAACGAGCGAGAGAGAGCUUGCUUUCUCGAGCGAGUGGCGAACGGGUGAGUAACGCGUGAGGAACCUGCCUCAAAGAGGGGGACAACAGUUGGAAACGACUGCUAAUACCGCAUAAGCCCACGGGUCGGCAUCGACCAGAGGGAAAAGGAGCAAUCCGCUUUGAGAUGGCCUCGCGUCCGAUUAGCUGGUUGGUGAGGUAACGGCCCACCAAGGCGACGAUCGGUAGCCGGACUGAGAGGUUGAACGGCCACAUUGGGACUGAGACACGGCCCAGACUCCUACGGGAGGCAGCAGUGGGGAAUAUUGCACAAUGGGGGAAACCCUGAUGCAGCGACGCCGCGUGGAGGAAGAAGGUCUUCGGAUUGUAAACUCCUGUUGUUGGGGAAGAUAAUGACGGUACCCAACAAGGAAGUGACGGCUAACUACGUGCCAGCAGCCGCGGUAAAACGUAGGUCACAAGCGUUGUCCGGAAUUACUGGGUGUAAAGGGAGCGCAGGCGGGAAGACAAGUUGGAAGUGAAAUCUAUGGGCUCAACCCAUAAACUGCUUUCAAAACUGUUUUUCUUGAGUAGUGCAGAGGUAGGCGGAAUUCCCGGUGUAGCGGUGGAAUGCGUAGAUAUCGGGAGGAACACCAGUGGCGAAGGCGGCCUACUGGGCACCAACUGACGCUGAGGCUCGAAAGUGUGGGUAGCAAACAGGAUUAGAUACCCUGGUAGUCCACACCGUAAACGAUGAUUACUAGGUGUUGGAGGAUUGACCCCUUCAGUGCCGCAGUUAACACAAUAAGUAAUCCACCUGGGGAGUACGACCGCAAGGUUGAAACUCAAAGGAAUUGACGGGGGCCCGCACAAGCAGUGGAGUAUGUGGUUUAAUUCGACGCAACGCGAAGAACCUUACCAAGUCUUGACAUCCCUUGACAGACAUAGAAAUAUGUAUUCUCUUCGGAGCAAGGAGACAGGUGGUGCAUGGUUGUCGUCAGCUCGUGUCGUGAGAUGUUGGGUUAAGUCCCGCAACGAGCGCAACCCUUAUGGUCAGUUACUACGCAAGAGGACUCUGGCCAGACUGCCGUUGACAAAACGGAGGAAGGUGGGGAUGACGUCAAAUCAUCAUGCCCUUUAUGACUUGGGCUACACACGUACUACGAUGGCGUUAAACAAAGAGAAGCAAGACCGCGAGGUGGAGCAAAACUCAGAAACAACGUCCCAGUUCGGACUGCAGGCUGCAACUCGCCUGCACGAAGUCGGAAUUGCUAGUAAUCGUGGAUCAGCAUGCCACGGUGAAUACGUUCCCGGGCCUUGCAC